UGGGGAAUAUUGCGCAAUGGGCGAAAGCCUGACGCAGCGACGCCGCGUGAGGGAUGAAGGUUUUCGGAUCGUAAACCUCUGUCAGAAGGGAAGAAACCGCACUGUGCUAAUCAGCAGUGCCUUGACGGUACCUUCAAAGGAAGCACCGGCUAACUCCGUGCCAGCAGCCGCGGUAAUACGGAGGGUGCAAGCGUUAAUCGGAAUUACUGGGCGUAAAGCGCACGUAGGCUGCUUUGUAAGUCAGGGGUGAAAUCCCACGGCUCAACCGUGGAAAUGCCUUUGAUACUGCUUAGCUUGAAUCCGGGAGAGGGUGGCGGAAUUCCAGGUGUAGGAGUGAAAUCCGUAGAUAUCUGGAGGAACAUCAGUGGCGAAGGCGGCCACCUGGACCGGUAUUGACGCUGAGGUGCGAAAGCGUGGGGAGCAAACAGG
rnacentral:rRNA from 1 species